AUUGAACGCUGGCGGCAGGCCUAACACAUGCAAGUCGAACGAGCGGCGGACGGGUGAGUAAUGUCUGGGAAACUGCCUGAUGGAGGGGGAUAACUACUGGAAACGGUAGCUAAUACCGCAUACCAUCAAAUGUGCCCAGAUGGGAUUAGCUAGUAGGUGGGGUAAAGGCUCACCUAGGCGACGAUCCCUAGCUGGUCUGAGAGGAUGACCAGCCACACUGGAACUGGGACACGGUCCAGACUCCUACGGGAGGCAGCAGUGGGGAAUAUUGCACAAUGGGCGCAAGCCUGAUGCAGCCAUGCCGCGUGUGUGAAUAAGGCCUUCGGGUUGUAAAGCACUUUCAGCGGGGAGGCGUUACUCGCAGAAGAAGCACCGGCUAACUCCGUGCCAGCAGCCGCGGUAAUAC
rnacentral:rRNA from 1 species